UUAUUGGGACGGGUAUGAACGGUUUAACAAUUAUUUUUUGUUUAUAUAAUUAUUUUUUAAUUUAUGUCUCAUGUAAAAACACAUGAGUGAGAGAAAGGGACGAUAAGACCCUAAAAGCUUUAUGUUUAGUUAAUUUAUGAGUGUGGUUUUUAUUUCAUAUAUUAUAUAAAUAUUUAAUUGGGGUAAUGGUUUUUAUUAACAAAAGUUUCUAUAGACGUUUUGGUUAUAAGGUCCUUUGUAUAAGGAUAAGUGGUUUUAGUUACUUUAGGGGUAACAGCAUAAUAAUAAUAGUAAGGCCUUAUUUAUAUUAUUGAUUGUGACCUCGAUGUUGAAUUAAUUUUCUUUGUGAAGCAGAAAUUACAAGUGAGAGUUUGUUCAACUUUUAAAUUUUUACAUGAUCUGAGUUCAAA
rnacentral:rRNA from 1 species